rnacentral:lncRNA from 1 species
AUGCGAGAAGCAUCCGAGGACAGGGCCCUGGUUGCCACUGAUAGACCUCUGUGUCGUCAGCAGCCAGCUGGAGCAGGAGCGCAGUCAGCUCUUGGCUCCUCACUGACGUUACUGAGGUUCGCCUGGGAGAAGGAGGGAGGGAGGGAAGGAAGGAGAAAGGAAAGGGGGAGGGGGCGGCGCUGCUCCGUGACUGUCCUUUCCCAGCGCUUCAUCGCUGGUACCAAAGUCUCACCAACUGCUUUCCAGGACUGCGAGGAGGGAGCAGCAAUCCCUACAUCAACGUAGAAAUCCUUGACUACAAGACAAAGAAGCAACUAUGCUUUCUGGAUAAGGUAAAUCCAGUGAAUCUAUGAAAAAUGUCGCUAAAAUGUUACUUCAUCAAAACUGUGAUUAAGA